rnacentral:rRNA from 1 species
AACGAACGCUGGCGGCAGGCCUAACACAUGCAAGUCGAGCGGACCUUUCGGGGUCAGCGGCGGACGGGUGAGUAACGCGUGGGAAUAUGCCCUUCUCUACGGAAUAGUCCUGGGAAACUGGGGGUAAUACCGUUUACGCCCUUUGGGGGAAAGAUUUAUCGGGGAAGGAUUAGCCCGCGUUGGAUUAGGUAGUUGGUGGGGUAAUGGCCUACCAAGCCGACGAUCCAUAGCUGGUUUGAGAGGAUGAUCAGCCACACUGGGACUGAGACACGGCCCAGACUCCUACGGGAGGCAGCAGUGGGGAAUCUUAGACAAUGGGGGCAACCCUGAUCUAGCCAUGCCGCGUGAGUGAUGAAGGCCUUAGGGUUGUAAAGCUCUUUCAGCUGGGAAGAUAAUGACGGUACCAGCAGAAGAAGCCCCGGCUAACUCCGUG